rnacentral:rRNA from 1 species
GGACUACCAGGGUUUCUAAUCCUGUUCGCUCCCCACGCUUUCGCUCCUCAGCGUCAGUACCGGCCCAGACCACCGCCUUCGCUACUGGUGUUCCUCCUGAUAUCUGCGCAUUUCACCGCUACACCAGGAAUUCCAUGGUCCCCUACCGGACUCUAGUCACGGCAGUAUCGAGUGCAACUCCAGGUUGAGCCUGGAGGUUUCACACGCCGACUUACCGAACCGCCUACGAGCUCUUUACGCCCAAUAAAUCCGGACAACGCUCGCCCCCUACGUAUUACCGCGGCUGCUGGCAC